rnacentral:rRNA from 1 species
ACUCCUACGGGAGGCAGCAGUGGGGAAUAUUGGACAAUGGGCGAAAGCCUGAUCCAGCCAUGCCGCGUGUGUGAAGAAGGUCUUCGGAUUGUAAAGCACUUUAAGUUGGGUAGGAAGGGCAGUAAAUUAAUACUUUGUCUGUUUUGUACGUUACCGACAGAAUAAGCACCGGCUAACUCUGUGCCAGCAGCCGCGGUAAUACAGAGGGUGCAAGCGUUAAUCGGAAUUACUGGGCGUAAAGCGCGCGUAGGUGGUUCGUUAAGUUGGAUGUGAAAUCCCCGGGGCGUCAACCUGGGAACUGCAUUCAAAACUGUCGAGCUAGAGUAUGGUAGAGGGUGGUGGAAUUUCCUGUGUAGCGGUGAAAUGCGUAGAUAUAGGAAGGAACACCAGUGGCGAAGGCGACCACCUGGACUAAUACUGACACUGAGGUGCGAAAGCGUGGGGAGCAAACAGGAUUAGAUA